GGAGGGGUACCGAAGUGGUUAUAACGGGCCGCUCUCGAAAAGCGGUUGGGUCUUAAAGGCCCACGCGAGUUCGAAUCUCGCCCCCUCCGCCA
rnacentral:tRNA from 1 species